CCCAUCCACUCCUUCAAAAUACAGGAGAUAUACCGAAACCCCCAUCCCUUCCUUUCUCCACUCCUCUCCUUCACCCCAAACCCUAAAUCUACAAAAACCCCUUCAACCAGCCGAGCCCUAGAUCUGUAGAAACCCCUUCAACCAACUGAUCCCUAGAUCUGCAGAAAGCCCUUCGACCAACCUAAAUGCGCUCCCAAAACUUGCUCUCUCAAAUGCAUUUCUAGGGUCAGUCUCUCUCUCUCUCUCUCUCUCUCUCUCUCUCUCUCUCCCCUUCAUUAUUGCUGCAUCUGUCUUGUUCUUCUUCCUUCUUCAUUGCCUGGCCUGUCUCCCUUCCUCACUCAUCUUUUCUUCUUUUGCAGGGAGGCUACUUCCCCAACGCAAUCCGAUAUUAUCAGAGAUCCCUCUCUGAGGAUAGAUGUCCUGUUAGAACUUGUGAUUGAGAACCACUUUUCCCCAAAUGAUGGUACUCUUGAGGUAUGUUAUUGCACCUUAAUUUCUUUCUUAAUAAGAUAAUAUAUCAAAUUCUCCUUUUAUUUUAAUUUAUCAUUUUCUACACAUCAACAGGCAUAAUAUAUGUAGGAACUAGUGUCUGAAAAUACAAUUAUUACUU